rnacentral:rRNA from 1 species
UAGGGAAUCUUCCACAAUGGGCGAAAGCCUGAUGGAGCAACGCCGCGUGUGUGAUGAAGGGUUUCGGCUCGUAAAACUCUGUUGUUAAAGAAGAACAUAUCUGAGAGUAACUGUUCAGGUAUUGACGGUAUUUAACCAGAAAGCCACGGCUAACUACGUGCCAC